rnacentral:ncRNA from 2 species
ACCUCCACCAACCGUAUCGGUGCCCAACGGGCUUGAUAGGGAAUGCGGUGCGGGCGUGCCCAAUGCCGCAGCUGCCCCUGCAACUGUAAGCGGCGAGCGAUCGGCCCGGUUGCCAUUGGAAGCGAUUCCGAGAAGGUGGGCCGAUCCGCGAUGACCCGCAAGCCAGGAGACCUGCCGAUAUGGGUCGCUCGUC